rnacentral:rRNA from 1 species
CGAACGCUGGCGGCGUGCUUAACACAUGCAAGUCGAACGCGAACGUUUUCUUCGGAAAACUAGUAGAGUGGCGCACGGGUGAGUAACGCGUAGAUAACCUACCCUUAUGUCUGGGAUAACCCACCGAAAGGUGGACUAAUACCGGAUAUGCUUAUUUUUCAUAAGUUAUUAUAAGUAAAGGUGGCCUCUGAUUUAAGCUACUGCAUAAGGAGGGGUCUGCGUACCAUUAGCUUGUUGGUGGGGUAAUGGCCUACCAAGGCUUCGAUGGUUAGCGGGUCUGAGAGGAUGAUCCGUCACACUGGCACUGAAACACGGGCCAGACUCCUACGGGAGGCAGCAGUGAGGAAUAUUGCGCAAUGGGGGAAACCCUGACGCAGCGACGCCGCGUGAGUGAGGAAGGCCUUCGGGUCGUAAAGCUCUGUCAAGAGGGAAGAAGUGCAUAUUGGUUAAUAUCCAAUAUGUUUGACGGUACCUCUAAAGGAAGCACCGGCUAACUCC